GAUCAUGGCUCAAGAACGAACGCUGGCGGCAGGCUUAACACAUGCAAGUCGAACGGUUGUAGCAAUACAGCAGUGGCGCACGGGUGAGUAACGCGUGGAUAUCUGCCUUUUGGUUCGGAAUAACUCCGGGAAACUGGAGCUAAUACCGGAUGGUUCCUGCGGGAUAAAGAUUUAUCGCCAAAAGAUGAGUCCGCGUACGAUUAGCUAGUUGGUGAGGUAAUGGCUCACCAAGGCGACGAUCGUUAGCUGGUCUGAGAGGACGAUCAGCCACACUGGGACUGAGACACGGCCCAGACUCCUACGGGAGGCAGCAGUGGGGAAUAUUGGACAAUGGGGGCAACCCUGAUCCAGCCAUGCCGCGUGAGUGAUGAAGGCCUUCGGGUUGUAAAGCUCUUUUGGCGGGGACGAUGAUGACGGUACCCGCAGAAUAAGCCCCGGCUAACUUCGUG
rnacentral:rRNA from 1 species